UGAGCAAUCUGCCCUUCUCAUCGGAAUAAGCGUUGAAACGACGUCUAAUGCCGAAUACGACCUCCUUUCGCAUGAUCGGAGGUGGAAAGCUCCGGCGGAGAAGGAUGAGCUCGCGGCCUAUCAGCUAGUUGGUGUGGUAAUGGCCCACAAGGCGACGGACGGGUAGCCGGCCUGAGGAGGGUGACCCGGCCACACGUGGGACUGAGACACCGGCCCAGACCUCCGUACGGGAGCAG
rnacentral:rRNA from 1 species